rnacentral:rRNA from 1 species
GACGAACGCUGGCGGCGUGCUUAACACAUGCAAGUCGAACGGAAAGGCCCUGCUUUUGUGGGGUGCUCGAGUGGCGAACGGGUGAGUAACACGUGAGUAACCUGCCCUUGACUUUGGGAUAACUUCAGGAAACUGGGGCUAAUACCGGAUAGGAGCUCCUGCUGCAUGGUGGGGGUUGGAAAGUUUCGGCGGUUGGGGAUGGACUCGCGGCUUAUCAGCUUGUUGGUGGGGUAGUGGCUUACCAAGGCUUUGACGGGUAGCCGGCCUGAGAGGGUGACCGGCCACAAUGGGACUGAGGUACGGCCCAGACUCCUACGGGAGGCAGCAGUGGGGAAUAUUGCACAAUGGGCGGAAGCCUGAUGCAGCAACGCCGCGUGCGUGAUGACGGCCUUCGGGUUGUAAACCGCUUUCGCCUGUGACGAAGCGUGAGUGACGGUAAUGGGUAAAGAAGCACCGGCUAACUACGUG